UAAAGAGCACUCUUAGAAUAUAGAUUGGGGUCUUCAACUACUAUUUCCCACUAAAAGGCAUCGGAGAUCCUUGAAGAAAUGGAUGAUUCCAUGUCUAGCACAGGAAGUGUCUAAGAUAUACUUAAAAUAGAUAGGCAUGCCAGAUAGCAAGAUGGGGCAAUGUGCAUACCAAUGAGAAUAAUAACCUCAAUGUUUUGUAGCAGAGUAACAGAAAUUUUAUGGUAGUGUAUCUCCAGCAGGAUGUCUCGCUAUGAAUGGCUUUCCAUAGUACGUUAUAGGGUCGAUUUCCAGCAAGUUCUACCAGCUGAGAACCACAGUGACUUCUAUGCCAUCUAGUGAGCCGGUGACCUCCAAUAAGGUCUCCUGUUGAACCUAACUGGAAAUCAGGUGGCAAGGACCCUGUUGAUACAGUCUCUACAGGUCUUCCUCUCAGGCAGACAUCAGAGUGGAACAGGGUGGAGGGUACAUCUGGAGAAUCAAAGAGAAACUAUGACAGAGGUACAGGGCUGAAGAACCAGGAGAGCAUGUGAUGCAAUUCAGUCUGAGUCUGAAAGUCUGAGAACAAGAGGAGCUGAUGAUAUAACUCUCAAUUUGAGAUCAAAGGCCUGAGAACCUGGGGACUACUAGUAUAAGUCCUAGAGUCUGAAGGCCUGAGGACCUGGAGUUCUGAUGUCUGAGGACAGAAGAAGAUGGAUGUUUUAGCUCCAGAAGAGGAAAUAAAUUCACCUUUCCUCUGUCUUUUUGUUUUACUUGGUCUCACAAUGAAUUGGAUGAUGCCCCCACACACUAGUAAGGACAGAUCUUCACUUAGCUGACUGGUUCAGAUACUAAUCUCUUUCAAACACCCUCACAGACAUACUGAGAAAUAAUAUAAC